rnacentral:rRNA from 1 species
AGUGAACGCUGGCGGUAGGCCUAACACAUGCAAGUCGAACGGCAGCACAGUAAGAGCUUGCUCUUACGGGUGGCGAGUGGCGGACGGGUGAGGAAUACAUCGGAAUCUACUUUUUCGUGGGGGAUAACGUAGGGAAACUUACGCUAAUACCGCAUACGACCUACGGGUGAAAGCAGGGGAUCUUCGGACCUUUCGCGAUUGAAUGAGCCGAUGUCGGAUUAGCUAGUUGGCGGGGUAAAGGCCCACCAAGGCGACGAUCCGUAGCUGGUCUGAGAGGAUGAUCAGCCACACUGGAACUGAGACACGGUCCAGACUCCUACGGGAGGCAGCAGUGGGGAAUAUUGGACAAUGGGCGCAAGCCUGACCCAGCCAUACCGCGUGGGUGAAGAAGGCCUUCGGAUUGUAAAGCCCUUUUGUUGGGAAAGAAAAACAGCAGGUUAAUACCCCGCCGUUCUGACGGUACCCAAAGAAUAAGCACCGGCUAACUUCGUG